rnacentral:lncRNA from 10 species
GGCGGCCGCGGCAGCAUCACACACUUACACACUCACAGGGGGCGGAGCCUGGACAGCUAGAAGCCGCGACAUGGAGCAGCAGGAGGACCAAGCAGAAGCAGAAGGAGCCAGCAAGAGGCAGCACUAUGAACAGAAGUGCCUGCGGGAAGGAGAGAAGAGACAAGUGGUGCCGGCUGCUGCUUCAAAAGAGGGGCAGGGGCUUUCCCUUCCUGAGAUCAAAACCAAGCAGGAAGGUUGGGUUGGGUGGAAGGAGCCCCCACUUCCUAGCCACUCUCCUCAAACAGAGAUGAGGUUAAGACAGGCAACACUGAAGGGGCCAGGCUGUCCCUGAGGCCUCUUUGGCCGGGCCUGGCACCUGCUCACUGAGCAUCAGCUACUGAGCAAGAUA